GACGAACGCUGGCGGCGUGCUUAACACAUGCAAGUCGAACGGAAAGGCCCUGCUUUUGUGGGGCGCUCGAGUGGCGAACGGGUGAGUAACACGUGAGUAUCCUGCCCCUGACUUUGGGAUAACUUCAGGAAACUGGGGCUAAUACCGGAUAGGAGCUCCUGCUGCAUGGUGGGGGUUGGAAAGUUUCGGCGGUUGGGGAUGGUCUCGCGGCUUAUCAGCUUGUUGAUGGGGUAGUGGCUUACCAAGGUUUUGACGGGUAGCCGGCCUGAGAGGGUGACCGGCCACAUUGGGACUGCGGGACGGCCCAGACCCCUACGGGAGGCAGCAGUAGGGAAUAUUGCACAAUAGGCGGAAGCCUGAUGCAGCAACACCGCGUGCGGGAUGACGGCCUUCGGGUUGUAAACCGCUUUCGCCUGUGACGAAGCGUGGGUGACGGUAAUGGGUAAAAAAGCAACGGCUAACUACGUG
rnacentral:rRNA from 1 species